GUCUAUAGUCAUACCACCCUGAACAUAUCCAGUCUCAUCUGAUCUUAGAAGCUAAGCAAGAUCAAGCUUGGUUAGUACCUGGAUGGGAGAAAACCACAAAGCAGACA
rnacentral:rRNA from 1 species